rnacentral:rRNA from 1 species
AACGAACGCUGGCGGCAGGCUUAACACAUGCAAGUCGAACGCCCCUUUCGGGGGGAGUGGCAGACGGGUGAGUAACGCGUGGGAACGUGCCCUUCGGUUCGGAAUAACCCAGGGAAACUUGGGCUAAUACCGGAUACGUCCGAAGAGGAGAAAGAUUCAUCGCCGAAGGAUCGGCCCGCGUCUGAUUAGCUGGUUGGUGGGGUAACGGCCCACCAAGGCGACGAUCAGUAGCUGGUCUGAGAGGAUGAUCAGCCACACUGGGACUGAGACACGGCCCAGACUCCUACGGGAGGCAGCAGUGGGGAAUAUUGGACAAUGGGGGCAACCCUGAUCCAGCCAUGCCGCGUGAGUGAUGACGGCCUUAGGGUUGUAAAGCUCUUUCGCACGCGACGAUAAUGACGGUAGCGUGAGAAGAAGCCCCGGCUAACUUCGUGCCAGCCGCCGCCGUAAGAC